rnacentral:rRNA from 1 species
CUACGGGCGGCUGCAGUGAGGAAUAUUGCACAAUGGGGGGAACCCUGAUGCAGCAACGCCGCGUGGAGGAUGACGCAUUUCGGUGUGUAAACUCCUUUUAUAUGUCAAGAAAAUGACGGUACUAUAUGAAUAAGCGCCGGCUAACUCCGUGCCAGCAGCCGCGGUAAUACGGAGGGCGCAAGCGUUACUCGGAAUCACUGGGCGUAAAGAGCGUGUAGGCGGAUUGGAAAGUCAGGUGUGAAAUCCUACAGCUUAACUGUAGAACUGCACUUGAAACUUCUAAUCUAGAGUAUGGGAGGGGGAGAUGGAAUUAGUGGUGUAGGGGUAAAAUCCGUAGAUAUCACUAGGAAUACCUAAAGCGAAGGCGAUCUCCUGGAACAUUACUGACGCUAAGGCGUGAAAGCGUGGGGAGCAAACAGGAUUAGAUACCCCGGUAGUC